CUUAAUGGGAUGGGAGCCUUGCCUAGCUCAUAUCAUACUCUUUUCUUAUUCUUGACUACAUAGCCUGGGGAUCUAUAACUUGUUGGUACAGUGUCCAGACACUAGCACCCAUCUUUUUCCUCUCAGGGCACUCUUUGAUCCUGGCCUCUGUAUGCCAACUGCCUUGCAAAUGUAUUUUUUCUCUACUUUUCAGGAUGUGCAGCUCAAUCUCUGCCUUCUGGAGCCUGACCACUGCCACUACACAUCUAAUUUAGCCUCUGGCUCUCUGUCUGGACCAUGUCUUCUGGUGAUUCCAGAAAUGAGACAGAAUGAGAGCUGUAUCAAAUUAUGUGCAAUAAAAUAUUAAAUUUUAUAUGUUGAUAAGGAUUUUGAUUAUUUCACUGUGGACAUGGAGAAAGAAGUGAAAGAAUUUCAUUCAACAUUCAUGGGGAAAGAGAAUACAAAAUGAAUGUGUAUGUGUUCAGAUUGGCAGAUGGGCUAGUAACAAGGAAUGGAAAGAUGAGGAUUUGAAUUUCCAUCUGGUGUGAAGUUUUAUUCCGUUGCCCCUUCAGUGUAUUACAGUGUUGACUAGAAAUGG